rnacentral:misc_RNA from 1 species
AAGUCGUAACAAGGUUUUCGUAGGUGAACCUGCGGAAGGAUCAUUAGUGAAUAACAUACAAAUUUUGGGGUUGUUCCUCUGGUUUAACACACUGGGGACUGCCUUUAUAUAUUUGGAAAUAUACACUAUUUCACACACAAUGUGCACCCUAAAAUAUUGGACAUUGUUUGAAAGAACUUUGCCCUUUGUUUUAACACAUUUUUACAAACACUUCGGUGUUAAUUUAAUAAAAGUCUUGAAUGAUUACAAUUGAUAAAGUUAGAAAUAACUUUCAGCAAUGGAUCUCUUGGCUCUC